rnacentral:rRNA from 1 species
UGGGGAAUCUUGGACAAUGGGCGAAAGCCUGACCCAGCAACGCCGCGUGAAGGAUGAAGUAUUUCGGUAUGUAAACUUCGAAAGAAUAGGAAGAAUAAAUGACGGUACUAUUUAUAAGGUCCGGCUAACUACGUGCCAGCAGCCGCGGUAAUACGUAGGGACCAAGCGUUGUUCGGAUUUACUGGGCGUAAAGGGCGCGUAGGCGGUGUGUCAAGUCAGUUGUGAAAUCUCCGAGCUUAACUCGGAACGGUCAACUGAUACUGUCACACUAGAGUACAGAAGGGGCAAUCGGAAUUCUUGGUGUAGCGGUGAAAUGCGUAGAUAUCAAGAGGAACACCUGAGGCGAAGGCGGGUUGCUGGGCUGAUACUGACGCUGAGGCGCGAAAGCUAGGGUAGCAAACGGGAUUAGAUACCCCUGUAGUCCCUGAGCGGGCUGGCAAGGCGCAU